GAUGAACGCUGGCGGCGUGCCUAAUACAUGCAAGUCGAACGAGGUGCUUUUGUAGCAAUACGAAAGUGUCCUAGUGGCGAACGGGUGAGUAACGCGUUGGUGACCUACCCCAAAGUGUGGGAUAACAGUUCGAAAGAACUGCUAAUACCGCAUGUGGUUAUCGGAUUUAGAAACUGAUAACUAAAGGAGCAAUUCGCUUUGGGAGGGACCUGCGUCCCAUCAGCUAGUUGGUGAGGUAACGGCUCACCAAGGCGACGAUCUGUAGCGAGUCUGAGAGGAUGAUCCGCCACACUGGAACUGAGACACGGUCCAGACUCCUACGGGAGGCAGCAGUGGGGAAUUUUGGACAAUGGGCGCAAGCCUGAUCCAGCCAUGCCGCGUGAGUGAAGAAGGCCUCGGUUGUAAGA
rnacentral:rRNA from 1 species